UACGUAGGGGGCAAGCGUUGUCCGGAAUCAUUGGGCGUAAAGAGCGUGUAGGCGGCCAGAUAAGUCCGCUGUGAAAACUCGAGGCUCAACCUCGAGACGCCGAUGGAAACCGUCUGGCUAGAGUCCGGAAGAGGAGAGUGGAAUUCCUGGUGUAGCGGUGAAAUGCGUAGAGAUGUGGAGGAACACCAGUGGCGAAGGCGACUCUUUGGCCUGUAACUGACGCUGAGGCGCGAAAGCGUGGGGAGCAAACAGG
rnacentral:rRNA from 1 species